AUGGAGAAAAACAAAGGGUCCUGUGUUCAGGAAUUUGCCCGCGUACUGACUCAAUCAAUACUUAACGUGGGUAAAAAGGAACCUCUCACCAAGACUGCAUUCCACAUGGACUUAUUACACGGACAAUACAUCUCCUGCAGCUGUCCCCAAGAGAUGGAGAUGGAACAGAAGACAACCAGCCAUCUACAGGAUUUCUUUCAUGUGGGCCUGUUUACAAGAAAGAUUUUUUCUCUGCGGCGCAGCACGCUCGAGUUUUUUCCUCACAUGACGUUAGCCCUCACCCGGUUGCCAGAAUCCAUGAAAGCAGUGGUGCUCUGUGCCAGCUUGCUGCUGCAAUAUUCUCUAACUCCGGAUCAAUGGAUCCGAGCUAAUCUGUCAAACCGAGCAGGCCGCCUCAAGACUCCUUCACCCGCUGUACGUUUCCCCCCCCCCCCCAAAAAAAGGUCCUCACAGUUUUCCCCCAAAACAUUGAUACGAUUAACAAGAGACAUGGCGUGUAAACAAGUAGCAGAACUGGGUCAAGGAUAUCACACAGCCACCGCAUCCCCGAUCCUGCUGCGCAGUACCUGGGAGCUCCACCGGGAGCCGCUGCCGAUCCAUCUGUGCUGUUAGAGAGAGGCAGAAGAAGGGAAAAGACAGUGUGUGUGUGUGUGUGGGUCCGUGUGUUUGUGUGUGUGGUAGGGGGGGGGCAAGAGGGGAGGUGAAAAAGAUCUCAAUGUAUUAGAUCAGCUACCCCACUGGUUUUGUAUACCGACAGCUGUGCUCCAUAACCCACUUAGACGAGAUUAAAAGUCCAAACAUAUCAACAAAUAGACAAUCUGCACAUUCUUGCUCAGUCAUACAGCGCCCGCCCCCCCCCCCGCCGUCUUCCGCACCUCGGUGAACUGCAGAUGGGACGUGAAAAAACAGAGUGUCGGUGCAUAAUUUAGGGCUGUUUAUGAGAUUACACAAUGUGACCCACUUCGAGACGUCGCGUUCACUGAAAGAUGCGCGUUUCAACUAACAUUUGGGGCGGCGGCGGAUACAUCUUGAAUAGUGUUCUGUGCAAAUGUGUACGCAGUGAGCGCUGCGUGCCUGGCUUGUGGGUGCCCCGGUGCGCGGCUGUGCCAUUGUUUGCGGACAGAAAAAAAAGGAAAGAAAGAAAGAAAGAAAGAAAGAAAGAAAGAAAGAAAGAAAGAAAGCGAGACGGAGAGAAAUGACUGAUGACAGCCCCACAAUGCUCAGCAGUUCAUCUCGCCGCACACAGUCGGCGCUCCUUGGAGCUAAAGCAGCCAGCCAUCCGUCCUCCAGCUCACCGGCGCCUUGUGUUUGUUUGUGUUUGUUUAAGUUUGUUUGUUCUGACAUGUUAAUGGGACAGCUGAGGGACUGGCAGUGUGAUCCAGCUAGAGGGGGUCGCGGGCUGCCUGGUUUUAUUUUAUUCUGACAGCGAGUCGGGGGGGGUCAGCACGCUCAUAGCUCACCUGCUUUCCUUCUCUCCAUGUCUCUCUCUCAUCUGUCCCCAGCUCGUUUUUGCCUUUUUGGUCUCGUUUGCUUCCGUCUCCCACGGUGUGUUUUUUUUUUUGGGGGGGGGGACAUCCGUCUCGGCUCAUUUCCUCUCCCGUGUUUAAAGCUCCUCCGAAAAUAUCCCCCCCACCCCCUCCAAAAUGAUCGACCGACGGCUGCGAGGGAAAUUGGGCCAACAAAUUAGAUGAACCCUUGACGCAAUACCGAAAAGGAAAGAAAUAGUAAGGCGAACAUGAAUAACACCUUCUGCAAGGGGAAAAAAGUGCUAGAGGCAGUGAGUGUAUUCUAAAACUCACAGGAAUAAUCUCUGGAAGACUUUCUCAUGCCUGCAGAAGGCCGGGAAAGUAAGUCCACCAAGAAACCACAAACCACACGUAGCAGCAGACACACAGAGGA
ensembl:lncRNA